GAGAAAGAAAACAGUGGAAAGGGAGAAGAAACAUGUACAGUGGAGGAAGAAAGGGAGAAGGGAGAGAAAGAAGAGAUAGGGAAGAGAAAAAAUGGUGAGAGAAAAUUAAAGAAAAGGGAGAGAAAAAAACUUGCUACCCUGAUGACCGCAUAAGAGCAUAAGGAGGAGGAGGAGGAGAACGAGGAGGAAGGAAAGAAAUGAAAAAAAAAACAAAGAAAAGAAGCAGGAGGGAUAAAAUAAGAAAAAAAAGUUGUAGAAAAAGGAAAAAGGAGAAAGAAAAAAAGGAAAUUGCCUUCCACGGCUAACGAGCUCCACCUGCCCGGGUUUGUUGUUCGGAGUUUGCUCUCCUAGGUGAAUUGCCUUCCACGGCUAACGAGCUCCACCUGCCCGGGUUUGUUGUUCGGAGUUUGCUCUCCUAGGUGAAUUGCCUUCCACGGCUAACGAGCUCCACCUGCCCGGGUUUGUUGUUCGGAGUUUGCUCUCCUAGGUGAAUUGCCUUCCACGGCUAACGAGCUCCACCUGCCCGGGUUUGUUGUUCGGAGUUUGCUCUCCUAGGCGAAUUGCCUUCCACGGCUAACGAGCUCCACCUGCCCGGGUUUGUUGUUCGGAGUUUGCUCUCCUAGGUGAAUUGCCUUCCACGGCUAACGAGCUCCACCUGCCCGGGUUUGUUGUUCGGAGUUUGCUCUCCUAGGUGAAUUGCCUUCCACGGCUAACGAGCUCCACCUGCCCGGGUUUGUUGUUCGGAGUUUGCUCUCCUAGGUGAAUUGCCUUCCACGGCUAACGAGCUCCACCUGCCCGGGUUUGUUGUUCGGAGUUUGCUCUCCUAGGUGAAUUGCCUUCCACGGCUAACGAGCUCCACCUGCCCGGGUUUGUUGUUCGGAGUUUGCUCUCCUAGGUGAAUUGCCUUCCACGGCUAACGACCUCCACCUGCCCGGGUUUGUUGUUCGGAGUUUGCUCUCCUAGGUGAAUUGCCUUCCACGGCUAACGAGCUCCACCUGCCCGGGUUUGUUGUUCGGAGUUUGCUCUCCUAGGUGAAUUGCCUUCCACGGCUAACGAGCUCCACCUGCCCGGGUUUGUUGUUCGGAGUUUGCUCUCCUAGGUGAAUUGCCUUCCACGGCUAACGAGCUCCACCUGCCCGGGUUUGUUGUUCGGAGUUUGCUCUCCUAGGUGAAUUGCCUUCCACGGCUAACGAGCUCCACCUGCCCAGGUCUGUAGCCGGCAGAUCUCCGGCACCACCGUCGGGGCACCGGGGGACGCCUAGGCGCCCUGCCGGGAGCCCUUCAGUCCUCCCAUGCUCACCAGGGAGACCUUGGGCUCGCUGGCGCUGCCCCGCCCCGCCGGGGCGAGACGGGCGAAUGCAAGAACUCGCUUCUUAAAACUACCAGACUGGAUUAUGAAAUUAAUCAUAAAUACCGUAAAGGCGCCGGUGUCCGCGUUUAUCUGUUCUGGGAUGGGAUGGCCGGGCCUGGGACACGCGCGCCAGCACCCCGAGGAACCCUCGCCACGGCUUGCGGCGCAGCAUCAGUUUCCCUUUUUCUUUCUCAGCUCCAAUUUUC